rnacentral:rRNA from 1 species
UACGUAGGUGGCGAGCGUUGUCCGGAAUUACUGGGCGUAAAGGGCGUGUAGGCGGCCUUUUAAGUCAGACGUGAAAUCUCUGGGCUUAACCCAGAAAUUGCGUUUGAAACUGGAGGGCUUGAGGAUCGGAGAGGGCAGUGGAAUUCCCAGUGUAGCGGUGAAAUGCGUAGAUAUUGGGAGGAACACCAGUGGCGAAGGCGACUGCCUGGACGACACCUGACGCUGAGGCGCGAAAGCGAGGGGAGCAAACGGG